AAUGAGCUAGCCGGGUAUGAAAUACCUUCGACGCUCCUUGGCUCUAUCUUUUCCUUGACACUCUCCUUGGCAUCAACCGGCCUCCCCUGGCUCUUCCACCGUCCGGGCUCCCUUUCCUCCCUAUGCUCCCCCGGCGCAGUAGUUCCGUUUGACCGUCUUGUCUCCCCCUGCCGCCUGACUGACCAUUCUUAUACUUACCAUUCAUUCCUCCUUGCAACCUUCAGGAGAUAGGAAGAACUGAGAAGUCAACUCUUCCCAGGGCAGAUGCAGGAGGUCAGGGUGAGCUUCCUUGAGAGGUAUCGGUUAUCCAAGGCCUCGUUAGCAC
rnacentral:lncRNA from 1 species